UGGGGAAUUUUGGACAAUGGGCGAAAGCCUGAUCCAGCAAUGCCGCGUGUGUGAAGAAGGCCUUCGGGUUGUAAAGCACUUUUGUCCGGAAAGAAAUCCUCUGGGUUAAUACCUCGGGGGGAUGACGGUACCGGAAGAAUAAGCACCGGCUAACUACGUGCCAGCAGCCGCGGUAAUACGUAGGGUGCAAGCGUUAAUCGGAAUUACUGGGCGUAAAGCGUGCGCAGGCGGUUUUGUAAGGCGGAUGUGAAAUCCCCGGGCUUAACCUGGGAACUGCAUUCGUGACUGCAAGGCUAGAGUAUGGCAGAGGGGGGUAGAAUUCCACGUGUAGCAGUGAAAUGCGUAGAGAUGUGGAGGAAUACCGAUGGCGAAGGCAGCCCCCUGGGCCAAUACUGACGCUCAUGCACGAAAGCGUGGGGAGCAAACAGGAUUAGAUACCCUGGUAGUCCACGCCCUAAACGAUGUCAACUAGUUGUUGGGGAUUCAUUUCCUAGUAACGUAGCUAACGCGUGAAGUUGACCGCCUGGGGAGUACGGUCGCAAGAUUAAAACUCAAAUGAAUUGACGGGG
rnacentral:rRNA from 1 species